AACGAACGCUGGCGGCAGGCCUAACACAUGCAAGUCGAGCGGGGGAGCAAUCCCUAGCGGCGGACGGGUGAGUAACGCGUGGGAACGUACCCUUUGCUUCGGAAUAGCCCCGGGAAACUGGGGAGUAAUACCGGAUGUGCCCUACGGGGGAAAGAAUUUCGGCAAAGGAUCGGCCCGCGUUGGAUUAGGUAGUUGGUGGGGUAAUGGCCUACCAAGCCGACGAUCCAUAGCUGGUUUGAGAGGAUGAUCAGCCACACUGGGACUGAGACACGGCCCAGACUCCCACGGGAGGCAGCAGUGGGGAAUCUUAGACAAUGGGCGCAAGCCUGAUCUAGCCAUGCCGCGUGAGCGAUGAAGGCCUUAGGGUUGUAAAGCUCUUUCGUGGGGGAAGAUAAUGACGGUACCCCAAGAAGAAGCCCCGGCUAACUCCGUGCCAGCAGCCGCGGUAAU
rnacentral:rRNA from 1 species